CAAUAGCGUAUAUUUAAGUUGUUGCAGUUAAAAAGCUCGUAGUUGGAUUUCGGAUGGGACUUGCCGGUCCGUCGUUUCGAUGUGCACUGGCCAGUCCUAUCUUGUUGUCGGGGACUAGCUCCUGGGCUUCACUGUCCGGGACUAGGAGCUGACGAGGUUACUUUGAGUAAAUUAGAGUGUUCAAAGCAAGCCUACGCUCUGAAUACAUUAGCAUGGAAUAACACGAUAGGACUCUGGCUUAUCUUGUUGGUCUGUGAGACCAGAGUAAUGAUUAAGAGGGACAGUCGGGGGCAUUCGUAUUUCAUUGUCAGAGGUGAAAUUCUUGGAUUUAUGAAAGACGAACUUCUGCGAAAGCAUUUGUCAAGGAUGUUUUCAUUA
rnacentral:rRNA from 1 species